rnacentral:lncRNA from 1 species
CGCGCUCGGGUGACACCUCCGGAAAAACGAUAGUCUCAUCACCGGAGGGCUGAUACGGCGUCAACUGUCGGUCCGAGCCCGCGGCGUCCCCCUGAUCGAUGGGCCCGGACCCGUCUGUCGGCGUCGGAGUCGCCUGCUGGCGGGGCUUCUUCGCCGGUGGGACCCCGCUCGGAGGAGUCCGUUUCUUCCUCCGGACCGCUUCCAGUAGGGACGCCCUACUAACAGCCAUUGCCUUGUCCGACUGCAUGACGUCGUCGAUUUCUGCAAAAAGGACGAGUAUGGUUAGAAACUAAGAAACCGAUGGAAAGAAGAAAGGAAAGAGGAGAAAAGAGCUAAAAAAGAAGAAGUGGUGGCGGGCUCACGGUCGGCGGGGACCGAGCUCAGACCGACGUUCACCAAGGCAUCCUCGGAAAUAAGGCUAGCCACCGG